UGGAUCCAGACUUUGAUUCUGGCUCAGGACGAACGCUGGCGGCGUGCUUAACACAUGCAAGUCGAACGAGAAUCUGCGGAAAGAGGAUUCGUCCAAUUGAAGCAGAGGACAGUGGCGGACGGGUGAGUAACGCGUGAGGAACCUGCCUUUCAGAGGGGGACAACAGUUGGAAACGACUGCUAAUACCGCAUGACACAUCGGAGUCGCAUGGCUCUGAUGUCAAAGAUUUAUCGCUGAAAGAUGGCCUCGCGUCUGAUUAGCUAGUUGGUGAGGUAACGGCCCACCAAGGCGACGAUCAGUAGCCGGACUGAGAGGUUGAACGGCCACAUUGGGACUGAGAUACGGCCCUGACUCCUACGGGAGGCAGCAGUGGGGAAUAUUGGGCAAUGGGCGCAAGCCUGACCCAGCAACGCCGCGUGAAGGAAGAAGGCUUUCGGGUUGUAAACUUCUUUUGUCAGGGACGAGUAGAAGACGGUACCUGACGAAUAAGCCACGGCUAACUACGUGCCAGCAGCCGCGGUAAUACGUAGGUGGCAAGCGUUGUCCGGAUCUACUGGGUGUAAAGGGCGUGUAGCCGGGAGGGCAAGUCAGAUGUGAAAUCCACGGGCUCAACUCGUGAACUGCAUUUGAAACUACUCUUCUUGAGUAUCGGAGAGGCAAUCGGAAUUCCUAGUGUAGCGGUGAAAUGCGUAGAUAUUAGGAGGAACACCAGUGGCGAAGGCGGAUUGCUGGACGACAACUGACGGUGAGGCGCGAAAGCGUGGGGAGCAAACAGGAUUAGAUACCCUGGUAGUCCACGCUGUAAACGAUGAAUACUAGGUGUGCGGGGACUGACCCCCUGCGUGCCGCAGCUAACGCAAUAAGUAUUCCACCUGGGGAGUACGAUCGCAAGGUUGCAACUCAAAUGAAUUGACGGA
rnacentral:rRNA from 2 species